rnacentral:lncRNA from 1 species
UGUAAUUGAUGACUUCAUAAUCUGGUAACUCCAAAUCACUGUAAUCGGUGGAAUUCAUCUUUGUUUAGCUACUUUUCAGCUAUUUUGGGUAUAAAAUUUUUGAGAAAUGUCUUCGUUUGGGUUCAAAUUGUAGAUAAGUAUAAUUGAUUAUUGCAUUCAAGAAAUGGAAACUCAAGUGAAAUACAUGUGGGUUAUAGUAUUUAUUGUGAGUAUAAGCAUUGCAGGAUUCCAUGGAGUGGAUGUAACUCAUGAUUAUUAUGGUCCUGUGGGAAGCAUGACGUAGAGAAGGAAGCUCAGAAGCUGUCUCCAAGUACAUACGCAACCAAAUACCGAAGAGCUCCAGUUUCCAAGCGUUGCUGCGCUAUAAUAGAGAAAAAGCUUAGCAAUCCAGACUGUCUCUGUGCUAUUUUGCAAACUCGUAUGCUGGAGUGAGAAAUGAAAUCCAAGUGUAGCUAGUUUUCUCAAAUCAUAUUUGAUCUUUAAGAUAUCAUCCCUAUUAUUUAGGGAUGGCAAAACUCAAACCAUCAUUCAGAAUAGAGAGGAUUUUCUUUUGAAAGUGAAUGCAGAUUGAAUUUUAUAGUAGUUAAAGCAAUUAACACACAAGCUUGUAACACAAGGUAACUUGAAAAAAGUACCAUAAUUUCACUCACUCGAACGAAAUGGGAUCAUGGCAACAUGGAUUUGUGGCUGAUUCGAUGCUCAUGUUGUGGUGUUCAUCGGAUCUUCAUCUAUUUAAGAAUCUUAACCAUCAGGUGAGACCUGUUUUGGAUUAAGUUAUAAAAAUUAUGCCACUUACAGCAAUUAUUUUAAUUAGUUAAUGACAACCUUAAACAUCAAAUCCUCUUCGACUUGCAAUUUUUUUCCGCAGAAAACAAUAUCAACAUCUAAGCAAUCUUAUAGAUAUCUAACCAACAAAAACCAAAUAUAAACUGAACAAUUCUCCAAAUACAGAAACCAGGAAAUAGUUAACAUCUCAAACAUAUAACCCAAACAAUAACAGCAAUAUUAAGAAGCUCACAACAAAAAAUUCCUAUUACAUCUUACACAUAUAUGUUCUAGCUCCGCAUCCCUCUUCAUAUUCAGUAUCCAUUUCAUGCCUUCUUCAUAUUUAGUAUUCAUUUGAUGCAUCUCUCGCUGGUUGACGUAUUACAUGUUUCUCAAUAUUCUCUUGUAUUCCAUUUAUAGAGAGAAGAAGACGCACCUACAUAUUACUAAAAUAUUUGAAUUCAACAUUAUAAUCAUGUCACAAAAAAUAAAAUUAUAAUGGACUUGAAUUUAACAAAAAAUUUAACGAAGCUAACGCUCCUAUAAAUUUAUGUCAGAAUUUUAAUUAGAAUAAAAUAUUUAAACUAACUAAUGACAUUAUAAACGUUGAAGCACCAAACUAUAAAAAAAAAAUCAAGCUCAUUUGGAAUAUGGUAUAAGUUCUCUAACAAUCAAAGACUGUAUGGUUUUUCAGAUAGUGAUUUGCGUGGUUGCAUUGAAGAUCGCAAGAGUACAACUGGUUACGUUUUUACUAUGGGUGGCGGAGCUAUUUCCUGGAGCUCAAAGAAGCAACCAUCAACUGCUUUAUCAUCUACAGAGGCUGAAUAUAUAGCUGUUACUGCUGCUGUGUGUCAAGUUGUCUGGAUACGAAGAAUUCUUGAUGAUUUAAAGCUAACACAAGUGGAGGCAACUACCAUUUAUUGUGAUAAUCAGUCAACAAUUGCAAUGACAAAAAACCCCAUUUAUCACUGUAGAACAAGACACAUUGAAACACGUCAUCAUUUCAUAAGAGAGCUGGUUGCAAAGAGAGAUAUCAAGUUGGAGCACUGUUGCACUGAAGAACAAGUUGCUGAUUUGUUCACAAAGCCACUCCCACCGAAGAAGUUCAUGUAUUUGAGAGACUUGUUGGGUGUUGAAGAGUUUCUACCUUAAGGGGGAGUGUUAAAGGGUAAUGUAGAAAUUAUUUGUUACUGAUUGAAUAAGUUAGUCGUUGAGUCAGUCAAAGUCUGUUUUAAAAACAGACUUAGUCUUUGUUUAAUUCCAGUAGUGUUCCUUUUAUUUAGGAGAUUUAUCAAGAUACUAUUAGAGUCCUAAUAUAUCUCUAAGUUGUUAGCUACUUUAUAGUAUUUAAAGUACUCUUCAUGGAAUAAAUGAGUACCUCACUGUUUUCAAUUUUUCUGAAUUCCUAUUGCUUUUGCUUAAGUCCUUUGUUCUGCUUUUUUACUUUUAUACUCAGCAGCAGUUUUUUUGUCAACAACAACUAUGUAUAGUGUUUAAGUGGCAUUCUUCUUCUCCAUGCUGCACAUUUUUACAUAAACUAUAAUUAGUUACAGUAGAAGAAAGAAAUUGAACUUCAUUAGUUAAUAAUGAAAAUAUAUUAAAAUUAAGAAUGGAGUUGUAAACCUGGCAAUGGAUUUCAGCAUUGCUCCAAGGGACCAAUCUUAGAUUGAUAAUGGUAUGGAGGUCAGUGUGUAAGACCUUGACGAGGUCAUUAGAGAUAAAGGAGGCACAACGUGGACAUAAACUUGUUUCAUAGUACAGUGACACAGUAACCUUGUCAUUAACAUUAUUGGGAGGGAGAAAUAAGCCAGAAUAUUGCAAGAGCAGACAGAAUAUAGAAGAUCAAUGGUUGAAGAUAAGCCAUUGUCUUAGUGGUAGCUUCUGCACAAUGUUGAACCUCCAUUAUGCAAGGGUUUUUAUGGUUGAGAAUUGGGAUGAUCACUAUUAUUUUCUAUCAUUUUCAGAAACCAUGUGACGUUAUCAUCCCUAAAAGAACUAUUAUACACCACUUUAAAAAAUUAUUUACAUGAAGAUUGUUUAUUUAUGUAUAAGGUUCUUGCUUUUUCUAAUUUUACUUCUAUUUGCCGUAGAUGCAUAGAAGCAGUGCAGAAUUCAUUAAUUGGAUGCUAAAUCAGCCUUUUUGAAUGGCUUUCUUAAAGAAGAAAUAUAUGUUGAACAGCCUGAUGGUUUCGAAGUCCAAGGACAAGAGGACAAAGUUUACAGGCUUAAGAAAGCUCUUUAUGGCCUGAAGCAUGCACCUCGAGCCUGGUAUGAUAGGAUUGACUCUUACCUAUCUAGGCUUGGUUUUGAGAAAAGUUUGAGUGAGCCAACUCUUUAUGUAAAGAAGUCUAAAGAUGAAACCUUGAUGAUUGUUUCAAUCUAUGUGGACGAUCUGUUGGUGACUAGAAGCAGGGUCAAUUUGGUUCAAGAAUUUAAAUAAAAAAUGUAAGAAGUGUCUGACAUGACAGACUUGAGAAUCAUGACUUAUUUCCUUGGUAUGGAAGUAAACCAGUCUGAUCAAGGCAUUUUCAUUAGUCAGCAUGCCUUUGCCCUGAAAAUUUUCACUAAAUUUCACAUGGAAAACUGUAAAUCAGUGAGUACACCACUGGCUCAAGGGGAGAAACUGACUAGUUUUGAAAGCCAAGAAAGAGGUGAUGAAAAGGAAUACAGAAGCCUAGUUGGUUGUUUGCUUUACUUAACAGCAACCAGACCUGACCUCAUGCAUGCUGUUAGUUUGUUGUCGAGAUUCAAGCAUUGUUGCAAUACAUCUCAUUCCAAAACAGCUAGGAGGAUACUCAGGUAUAUCAAAGGAACUUUGAAGUUUGGAGUCAUGUUCAAGAAAAGAAGUGAGCUUAAGCUAGUUGGUUACUCAGAUAGUGACUGGGCUAGGUCUAUUGAUGAUAUGAGAAGUACCUCGGGCUAUUUCUUUACACUUAGCUCAGGAUUUUUCUGUUUGAGUUCUAAAAAGCAACAGACAGUUGCUCAAUCAACAGCUGAAGCAGAAUACAUAGUAGCUGCAGCAGCAGUCAAUCAAGCCAUUUGGCUUAGAAAGUUACUAUGUGACUUGAAUGAAGAACAACAUGAACCUACUGAAUGGUGGACAAUCAGUCAGUAGUUGCCAUAGCCAAGAAUUCGGUUUUUCAUGGCAAAACCAAACAUUUUAAACUUAAGUUUCAUUUUGUUCGAGAGGCUGUACAAUUGAAGAAAGUUGGACUCAUUCAUUGCAGCUCACAAGAUCAACUAGCUGAUAUCUUGACAAAGCCCCUUGGUACAACAAGGUUUAAUGUCUUGAGAGAUUCAAUUGGUGUUUGUUGCCUACAGUCCAAGGAGGAGUGUUAACCAUGGACUGCAAUGCAACAAGUGACCAAAAGCAGUAGCAGUAGCAGAUCAGCUUGCAUGGCAGCAUCGAGACAGAACCAGAAGCAGUCUACUUAUUUUGUUUCAUUUUGUUCUCUUGUAAGUGAUCAAGUUAGCAUGUAACUUGCUAUCUAAAGUUAGUAAAUUUUAGAUUUGAAAUUGAUGGAUGUAAUAGCUGACAAUAUCAGCUUUGUUUUUUGUAUUGCUUAAGUUAGCUUAUUAGUCAAUUAGUGGGGGCAGUUAAGUGUUUUAGGUAACUGUCAACUUAACUUUGUAACCUCUUAAUAUAUUUUCAAAGUUUGAAUGGAAAUAGAUGAAUUCUUCCUUCAGUUACAUUGUUUUAAUGUUCUUCAUAUCUCUGCUUUGCUUGCUGUUUUUGUUUGAUCAUGCUUGCUGUUUCUUUCUAUUUUAACAAAGAACAAUUAUAACCACUUUAAAAAGGUGUUGUUCCAAUAGGGUCGGAAGCGUGUAAAUUAUUGUACUAAAAAAUCACACAAAGUUCAAUUCCCAGGGAAGAGAGGUGGAUCACAUGGAUCUCUUAAAUACCAAGUCUUUCCUUAGACAGAAUAUCCCUUCUAUAGUAAUUUAAUAGCACAAUUAAAUACUACUAUUAUACCCUCAAAUAUUGAAAGAAAAAUAGGACAAGAAAGAACACAAGAGUUUUAACGAGGUUCGGUAAAUUAUACCUAAGUCCUCGGGCACUAACACCAGAUGAUAACUUUACUAUCUCCAAAGUAUUACAAACAAAUAGAAUUCCUUAAGAAUUCUCAAAUGGAAGAAGAGAGAAAACUAAGAGAGAAAGAUUGGUUGGGAUGGUUGAAAUGAGAAAUGGUUAGGCCUAUUUAUAGUUGAGGUUUAGGGACUAACUUGCAAAUGGCCUAAAAAAUUAGGGACCAAAAUUGCAAUUAUCCCAUUCAACUUUAAACAACUUGCCUAUCACUUUUUUCUUUCGGUGCCAAUUGCACCUCCCACCAUUUUUGACUUUUCAACAAUCUCCACCUUGAAGAUUUGAUUAGGAUAAUCACAUCUUCACAUACUUCCUUCAACUCCCCAAAUUUGAUGAAGCUAUCUUUUGUAGUGCCUCCAAAUGCGCUCUCGAGCGCCAUACACCUAAAGGUGCUCAAAUUCUCAGGAUGUUAAUCAAGUUCAAACAAUGAUUAAACUUGAUUGUUGUUACCACCUUGGUCAUCAUAUCUGCGGGAUUAUCUGCUGUUGGAAUCUUCUGAAGUAGAAUUUUUCCUUUUUCAAAGACUUCCCGCACAAAGUGAUAUCUUACGUCGAUAUGUUUGGUUCUUGAAUGAUAGACUUGAUUUUUCGUUAAAUGAAUAGCGCUCUGACUGUCACAAUAUAAACUUAUGUGACUUUGAACAACUCCUAAGUCUUUCAACAAUCCAUUAAGCCAAAUAGCCUCCUUAACAGCUUCUGUAACUGCCAUAUAUUCUGCCUCUAUAGUAGACACAGCUACUGUAGACUGUAAGGUAGACUUCCAACUCACUGGGGCUUUCGCAAGAGUAAACAGAUACCCCGUAGUUGAACGACGUUUAUCUAAAUCACCAGCAAAGUCGGAAUCAACAUAUCCAACUACAAACUGACCAAGUGCUUCAUCCUGUUCAAAAAUUAAACCAACAUCUACGGUUUUUCGAAGAUACCGUAGAAUCCAUUUCACAGCUUGCCAAUGUCCUUUUCCAGGAUCAUGCAUAUACCUGCUCACAACUCCAACAGCUUGUGAAAUGUCAGGCCUCGUACACACCAUCGCAUACAUCAAACUCCCAACUGCAUUAGCAUAUGGGACUUUCGCCAUAUAUUCUCUUUCAUCUUCAGUCUUCGGAGAUAAUUGAGCACUAAGUUUCAAAUGAGAAGCAAGUGGGGUACUUACAUGUUUUGUGUUUUCAUUUACACCAAAACAUUGUAAUACCUUUUUCAGAUAUUGCUUCUGAUUUAAACAGAGCUUGCCUCUCGAUCUAUCUCUACUUAUCUCCAUGCCGAGAAUCUUCUUGGCCUCACCUAGAUCUUUCAUCUCGAACUCUUGAUUCAACUGAGCCUUCAGCUUAUCUAUCUCAUUUUGGCUCUUCGAAGCGAUUAACAUAUCAUCAACAUACAAGAGUAGAUAAAUGAAAGAUCCGUCAUGCAGCUACUGCAAAUAUACACAAUUGUCAUAUUUGCUUCUUGUGUACUUCUGCCUUCUCAUAAAGCUAUCAAAUCGCUUGUACCACUGCCUCGGGGAUUGCUUCAAUCCAUAUAGCGAUUUGUUCAGCUUACAAACCCAAUUUCUACCACCAGCAUCUGUGUAUCCUUCGGGCUGAGUCAUAUAGAUCUCCUCUUCUAACUCACCAUGCAAGAAAGCCGUCUUAACAUCAAGUUGAGCUAGCUCCAAAUUCAACUGUGCUACCAAGGCCAACAAAAUUCUAAUGGAGGAAUGCUUCACAACAGGGGAAAAUACAUCAUUGUAGUCAAUUCCCUCCUUCUGAGCGUAGCCUUUAGCUACCAAUCUUGCUUUGUAGCGAAUAUCCUUCUUGCUAGGAGAUCCAUCUUUCUUUGCGAAUACCCACUUGCAUCCGAUUGCCCUUUUACCUUUCGGUAAUUGCGCCAACUCCCAAGUAUUGUUCUUCCGGAGAGACUGCAUUUCUUCAUCCAUGGCGCUUUUCCAUUUAUCACUUUCUAAGCUUUGCAUUGCUUCUUGAUAAGUGAUAGGAAUAUCAUCAACAACGGGAAGGGCGUAGGCCACCAUAUCAGUAAAUCGAGCAGGUUUACGAAUUUCUCUCCGUGGCCUUGCAACUGCAACUGGUUCUGGUGUACUUAGUGGUUCUUGGGUCAGAACCUCUUCAACCUCUAAUUCCUCCAUUGUGGCUGGAGAAUUAGACUUAUUAACUGGGCAAAUCCCCAUCUGCUCAAACUCCACCUGUUUUGGAGUACACUCCACCUGCUGUGGAGUAUUGCUCGUCUGAAUAUCUUUAUUUGCUACCUUUUUCAAUGUGGCAGAUUCAUCAAAGGUAACAUCUCUGCUACAGAUCAUUUUCUUUGUGCUUAAGCACCAAAGACGAAAUCCCUUCACUCCAGAAGUGAUUCCCAUAAAGAGAGCUUUCUUUGCCCUCGGAUCUAACUUUGACUCCUUCACAUGGUAAUAUGCAGUGGUUCCAAACACAUGUAAGGAAUCAUAAUCUGUAGCCGAUUUACCAGACCAUACCUCUAUAGGAGUUUUUCUUUCUAAUGCAGAUGAUGGCAAACGAUUAACAAGAUGGCCAGCGUAUGUCACAGCCUCAGCCCAAAAUUGCUUGCCCAACCCAGCAUUGGACAACAUACAUCGAACUUUCUCCAGCAAUGUUCGAUUCAUACGCUCUGCCACUCCAUUCUGCUGUGGUGUAUCCCUAACUGUGAAGUGUCGAACAAUACCAUACUCUUGGCACACAUCGAAGAACGGAUCACUUUUAUAUUCCCCUCCAUUGUCCAUCCUAAGCCGCUUGAUUUUCUUGCCAGUCUGGUUUUCGAUCAUAGUUUUCCAUUUAAGAAAAACUCUAAGCACUUCAUCCUUAGUUCUCAUGGUAUACACCCAAACUCUUCUGGAAAAGUCAUCAACAAGAGUAACAAAGUAGUGUUUUCCUCCCAACGAAGGUGUUUUGGAAGGCCCCCACACAUCUGAGUGAACAUAUUCCAAAAUACCUUUUGUAUUAUGGAUAGCAGUACCGAAUUUCACUCUCUUUUGCUUUCCCAGAACACAAUGCUUGCAAAAUUUUAAUUUGCAAGCCUUUGCACCUUUCAACAAUCCUUGCUUUGCCAGAAUUUGCAAGGAUUUUUCGCUGGCAUGUCCCAACUUCAUAUGCCACAACUGUAUUGAGUCCAAUUCUUUGUUGCCGGAAGCUGCAGCGACUGCUCCAAUAACUGUACUACCUUGGUAGUAAUACAAGUUAUUUUUCCUGAUGCCCUUCAAUAUCACAAGUGCGCCAGAUGUCACUUUCAAAAUCCCAUCUCUUAUAGUAACAACUGAACCAUUGGAUUCCAAGGCUCCCAAUGAGAUGAGAUUUUUCUUCAAACUGGGCACGUACCGAACAUCAGUCAGAACUCUGGUUGAUCCAUCUUGAUUCUUUAAUUGGAUUGAACCUAUCCCAACAGUUUUACAGGCAUUGUCAUUGCCCAUAUAAACAACUCCUCCAUUUAGUUCUACUAAAUCAGAGAACCACUCCCGGUUAGGGGACAUAUGAAAGGUACAACCCGAAUCCAAUAUCCACUCAUCUGAAUGGAACGACGAUGAUGAUGCAACCAGUGAUAGUUCAGAGUCACUAGUAUCAUGCUUAGCAACACAAGCAUCUACAGCAGCUUUUCCCUUAUUCUUCAGCUUUGGACAAUUUUUCUUCCAGUGGCCUUUCUCAUGACAAAAGGCACAUUCAUCUUUCCCGAGUCUGGACUUUGACUUUGAUCUCCCCUUUUGAGUUUUCUUCCGAGUGUAUGAACGACCUCGGACUACUAAAGCUUCUGUAUCUCUGAUUGAGUUUUUCUGUUUGUCCUUCUUUCUCUGUUCAUAACUGUAUAAGGCCGCACAGACUUCGCUCAGAGAUAUAUCACUCCUGCCAUGAAGUAGAGUAGUUUCUAGGAACUCAAACUCCUCAGGAAGUGACCCCAACAGCAUCAAAGCCAAAUCUUCAUCUUUGAAUGUCUCAUCCAUAUUCAGCAAAUCAGUGAUUAACUGAUUAAAUUUGGUGAUGUGAUCAUUCAUUGUGGUACUUGGGACGUAUGUGAAGCGAAACAGUCUUUUCUUCAAGUGGAGCUUAUUUUGACUGUUUUUCUUCAAAAAAAUUUCUUCAAGUGCCACCCACAACUUAUUUGCAGAAGUCUCCUUUGAAAAAGCAUACCUCUGCUCUCAAGAAAGGCAUGAUCGAAUUGUGCCACAUGCCAACCGAUUGAUCGCCUUCCAAUCUUUCUCCUGUACAUCAUCUGGUUUCUCUUCAUCAAUGGCAAUGUCUAGACCCUGCUGAAAAAGGGCAUCUAGAACCUCACUUUGCCACAUACCAAAAUGGCCCGUGCCAUCAAAGAUCUCCACGGCCAAUCUUGCAUUUGCAAUUUUCGGUCUUGUCCACAUGGACGAUGUUGAAGCUCCUACACCGACCGUUUUCUCCAUAAUCUUUCAAUAUACCUAAGGAAAUCUUUUCUGAUGUGGAAGAUCAGUUUAAACUGCAACCACAGAGCAUACUACGAUUAACCUUCGGCUCUUGAUACCACUUGUUGUUCCAAUAGGGUCGGAAGCGUGUAAAUUAUUGUACUAAAAAAUCACACAAAGUUCAAUUCCCAGGGAAGAGAGGUGGAUCACAUGGAUCUCUUAAAUACCAAGUCUUUCCUUAGACAGAAUAUCCCUUCUAUAGUAAUUUAAUAGCACAAUUAAAUACUACUAUUAUACCCUCAAAUAUUGAAAGAAAAAUAGGACAAGAAAGAACACAAGAGUUUUAACGAGGUUCGGUAAAUUAUACCUACGUCCUCGGGCACUAACACCAGAUGAUAACUUUACUAUCUCCAAAGUAUUACAAACAAAUAGAAUUCCUUAAGAAUUCUCAAAUGGGAGAAGAGAGAAAACUAAGAGAGAAAGAUUGGUUGGGAUGGUUGAAAUGAGAAAUGGUUAGGCCUAUUUAUAGUUGAGGUUCAGGGACUAACUUGCAAAUGGCCUAAAAAAUUAGGGACCAAAAUUGCAAUUAUCCCAUUCAACUUUAAACAACUUGCCUAUCACUUUUUUUCUUUCGGUGCCAAUUGCACCUCCCACCAUUUUUGACUUUUCAACAAAAGGAAUACUUGAAAUCAAGACUUUAGAUGGAGAAACGAGAUAUAUAAAACAACAAGCUUAAAUUGUAGAUCAGUUUCAUAUGUAGGGUUGCUUGAGAAAGAGCAUACAUAGAAACAUGGUGUAGUUGAUGACUUACGGAUUUGGUAACUCCAAAUCCAUGUCCAUUGUAAUCGGUGGAAUUUAUCUUUGUUUAGCUACUUUUUAGCUAUUUGUUUGGGUAUAAAUUGUUGAGAAAUGUCUUCGUUUGGGGUUAUAUUGCAUUCAAGAAAUGGAAACUCAAGUGAAGUACAUAUGGGUUAUGGUGUUUAUUGUGAGUAUAAGCAUUGUAGAGUUCCAUGGAACUCAAUAGCUUUUAAAAAUUCAAACAAAAUUAAAUUAAACUGAGCAAGUGGCGGUAGGUAGCAAUGGAAGGGUGGCGGCAGACUAGAGGACCCUAGGUGUGCCGCACCUAAGGUUAGGGUUUUCAGAAUUUUUGAAAAUAAUUUAGGUUGUGAGCUAGGGUUUUGAUUAUUUUGGGCCUGUAAAUUUGGGCUUUUUUUUGUUUGGUUUUUUGUUUGUUUGCCUGGGCUCGGGGCUAAAUUUGGGCUGUACACAUACAACGUAAUCUUAAAACUUAAAGUUGAAUAUAAUUAUUGUAAUUUAACGUGGCUCCAUUCGACGCAAAAAUCCAACACAUUAAGUAUAUCUUUAUAUUUAGUAGUGUUCAUCUAUUUCUUUCACUAAACCAUAUGUACAUAUUGAUUAUAACAUUCUUUCACUAAACAUUUUAGCAUAACUCUUAUAAUACAUUCUUUCAACUCUAACAUAUCAUAUCAUAUCAUAUCAUUACAUUAAUUACACAUAAAAUAUUCUUUUACACAUAAUCUGCCAAAAUAUUAUUUGUUGUUAUCAUCAUACCGUAAAAUGAAUCGGACUACAAAUUCAAUGCAUUUAGGGAAUAUUAUUUGAGAAAUGUCUUCAUUUGGGGUUUAAGUUUAAGUUAUGCUGAAUAUUGCUUAAUAAUCUGGUAACUCCAAAUUACUGUAAUCGGUGGAAUUCAUCUUUGUUUAGCUACUUUUCAUCUAUUUUGGGUAUAAAAUUUUUGAGAAAUGUCUUCGUUUGGGUUCAAAUUGUAGAUGAGUAUAACUGAUUAUUGCAUUCAAGAAAUGGAAUCUCAAGUGAAAUACAUGUGGGUUAUAGUAUUUAUUGUGAGUAUAAGCAUUGCAGGAUUCCAUGGAGUGGCUGUAACUCAUGAUUAUUAUGGUCCUGUGGGAAGCAUGACGUAGAGAAGGAAGCUCAGAAGCUGUCUCCAUGUACAUACGCAACCAAAUACCGGAGAGCUCCAGUUUCCGAGCGUUGCUGCGCUAUAAUAGAGAAAAAGCUUAGCAAUCCAGACUGUCUCUGUGCUAUUUUGCAAACUCGUAUGCUGGAGUGAGAAAUGAAAUCCAAGUGUAGCUAGUUUUCUCACAUCAUAUUUGAUCUUUAAGGUAUCAUCCUUACUAUUUAGGGAUGGCAAAACUCAAACCAUCAUUCAGAAUAGAGAGGAUUUUCUUUUGAAAGUGAAUGCAGAUUGAAUUUUAUAGUAGUUAAAGCAAUUAACACACAGGCUUGUAACACAAGGUAACUUGAAAAUGGUACCAUAAUCUCACUCAAUCGAACGAAAUGGGGUCAUGGCAACAUGGAUUCGUGGCUGAUUCGGUGCUCGUGUUGUGGUGUUCAUCGGAUCUUCAUCUGUUUAAGAAUCUUAACCAUCAGGUGACACCUGUUUUGGAUUAAGUUAUAAAAAUUAUGCCACUUACAGCAAUUAUUUUAAUUAGUUAAUGACAACCUUAAACAUCAAAUCCUCUUCGACUUGCAAUUUUUUCCGCAGAAAACAAUAUCA